UAGGGAAUCUUCGGCAAUGGACGGAAGUCUGACCGAGCAACGCCGCGUGAGUGAAGAAGGUUUUCGGAUCGUAAAGCUCUGUUGUUAAGGAAGAACGAGUGUGAGAAUGGAAAGUUCAUACUGUGACGGUACUUAACCAGAAAGGGACGGCUAACUACGUGCCAGCAGCCGCGGUAAUACGUAGGUCCCGAGCGUUGUCCGGAUUUAUUGGGCGUAAAGCGAGCGCAGGCGGUUAGAAAAGUCUGAAGUGAAAGGCAGUGGCUCAACCAUUGUAGGCUUUGGAAACUGUUUAACUUGAGUGCAGAAGGGGAGAGUGGAAUUCCAUGUGUAGCGGUGAAAUGCGUAGAUAUAUGGAGGAACACCGGUGGCGAAAGCGGCUCUCUGGUCUGUAACUGACGCUGAGGCUCGAAAGCGUGGGGAGCGAACAGGAUUAGAUACCCUGGUAGUCCACGCCGUAAACGAUGAGUGCUAGGUGUUAGGUCCUUUCCGGGACUUAGUGCCGCAGCUAACGCAUUAAGCACUCCGCCUGGGGAGUACGACCGCAAGGUUG
rnacentral:rRNA from 1 species